rnacentral:rRNA from 1 species
CGUGUAGGCGGUCACGUAAGUCGGAUGUGAAAGCCCUCGGCUCAACCGGGGAAGGGCACCCGAAACUGCGCGACUCGAGUCUCGGAGAGGAUAGUGGAAUUCUCGGUGUAGAGGUGAAAUUCGUAGAUAUCGAGAGGAACACCGGUGGCGAAGGCGGCUAUCUGGACGAUGACUGACGCUGAGACGCGAAAGCGUGGGGAGCAAACAGGAUUAGAUACCCUGGUAGUCCACGCCGUAAACGAUGGGUGCUAGGUGUCGCGGGCUUUGACCCCUGCGGUGCCGCAGCUAACGCACUAAGCACCCCGCCUGGGGAGUACGGCCGCAAGGCUAAA